AGUCUGCAACUCGACUGCACGAAGCUGGAAUCGCUAGUAAUCGCGGAUCAGCACGCCGCGGUGAAUACGUUCCCGGGCCUUGUACACACCGCCCGUCACACCAUGGAAGUCUGCAAUGCCCGAAGCCGGUGGCUAACCACUUAUGUGGAAGGAGCCGUCUAAGGCAGGGCAGAUGACUGGGGUGAAGUCGUAACAAGGUAAC
rnacentral:rRNA from 1 species